GCUGGGCACGGUGGCGCGUGCCUGUAAUCCCAGCUACUCAGGAGGCUGAGGCAGGAGAAUUGCCUGAACCCAGGAGGCGGAGGUUGCAGUGAGCCGAGAUCACGCCAUUGCACUCCAGCCUGGGUAACAAGAGCAAAACUCCGUCUCAAAAAAAAAAAAGAAAAAAUUAGGUGGAAAAAAGACAGUGUUGCUCUGUCGACAGGCUGGAUUCAGUGGCACAAUCUCGGCUCACUGCAACCUCCGCCUCCCGUGUUCAAGUGAUUCUCCUGCCUCAG
rnacentral:sRNA from 13 species